rnacentral:rRNA from 1 species
AUUGAACGCUGGCGGCAUGCUUUACACAUGCAAGUCGAACGGUAACAGGUUAAGCUGACGAGUGGCGAACGGGUGAGUAAUGCAUCGGAACGUGCCCGGUCGUGGGGGAUAAUGCAGAGCAAGUUGCCCUAAGACCGCAUACGUUAUGAGGAUGAAAGCGGGGGACCGCAACGCUUCGCGCUAUCGGAGCGGCCGGUGUCGGAUUAGGUAGGCGUUGGGGUAAAGGCUCACCAAGCCAACGAUCAGUAGCUGGUCUGAGAGGACGAGCAGCCACACUGGGACUGAGACACGGCCCAGACUCCUACGGGAGGCAGCAGAGGGGAAUUUUGGACAAUGGGCGAAAUCCUGAUCCAGCAAUGCCGCGUGCAGGAAGAAGGCCUUCGGGUUGUAAACUGCUUUUGUACUGAGCGAAAAGGUCUCCUCUAAUACAGGGGGCACAUGACGGUACCGUAAGAAUAAGCACCGGCUAACUACGUGCCAGCCGCCGCAGUAA